rnacentral:rRNA from 1 species
UACGGAGGAUGCAAGCAUUAUCCGGAAUGAUUGGGCGUAAAGCGUCCGCAGGUGGCUGUGUAAGUCUGCUGUCAAAGAGCAAAGCUCAACUUUGUAAAGGCAGUGGAAACUACACGGCUAGAGUGCGUUCGGGGCAGAGGGAAUUCCUGGUGUAGCGGUGAAAUGCGUAGAGAUCAGGAAGAACACCGGUGGCGAAGGCGCUCUGCUAGGCCGCAACUGACACUGAGGGACGAAAGCUAGGGGAGCGAACAGG